rnacentral:ncRNA from 1 species
AGAACAGCUUUGAUGAGGAAAGUAAGUCUAAUCAGAAUUUUCAGAGAGUUCCGGGUUGGUGAAAAGGAAUAAUUCUGAUUUUGCCGAAAAUCACCUUUGAGCGGGAGUUGCGAUAACAGUAAUUUCAGGGUCCGCCCUAUAUAGCGGCAACGUAUCGCUCUUUUUAGAGCCGCACGUAAAAGGCUAGUUUUUUUAAUUAGCAAAAAAUAGGUGGUACCGCGUUAAACGCCCUAUUA